rnacentral:lncRNA from 1 species
GGCUCUUCCUGUCCUGCCUGUCCCAUGCUUGCCUCCCGACUUCCAACAACAUGGACACAUCAUCUCCUGUGUGCAAUCCUGUAAUACACCACAGUGUCUUCAGAGUUGCUUUGUUCAUUUUACUGCAAGAGGAAAGAACAAUGCCACUACAUGGUAUUCAGGACGUGUGUUCACUUUCCCCCACCUCUGCCCUCAGACUGUGUGCAGGACAGAGCCUAUGCUGGCAACACACUGUGACCGUGCUGUGCUUGGAGUUUGUCACUCGAGAAUAUACUCUGAGAGCACCCCCACUGCCUGGCGAGCCCCCUCGACCCUGCGAGACCCUGCCUUGGGGCCGUGCCUGCGGGGCCCAUGCACAUGUGCACAGUUUGCUCACUGCACUGCCCUCCUGAAUGCGCCGCACAUCCACCGACAAACAAAACCGCAAGAUGCUUUGAGCAAACAUCGUGAUGUCCCAUGAAGGGAAACACCGUGGAAAGAUUUCCCAUCGACUUAAGUGACCCAUCUGUCCCCUCACGUGUUUAUCUCAUAUUUAUC